CCCAGUAGAGCCUCUAAAUUUGAACAGGAGGGAGACGAGGUGACUGAGCUCCCUCUCUUUCUCUCUCGCAGUGUUAUUUUUCUCCUCCUCUCCCUCAGCGGUGAGUGUGUGGAGAGAUCUUUUCUUUUUUUUUGCAGUGGAAGAGCAGCAGGAGGAGGUGUAGACUUCAGCUGGUGCAUAAUAGAACAAGGGGGAAGUAAAGAAGAAGAAGAGGAAAGAAAGACAAGAGAGGAAGACUUCUCCCUCCUCCUCUGAAACAUGCCCUCCUCUGCAAACGACUUUUUCCUCAAAAGUAACGGGGGGACCAACUUCAAAAGGCAGUGAAGGAAGGAGCUGGAGAGUGAAAUGUGAGAAGAGGUAGAAGAUGAGAGGCUGACCGCUGCUGUGUUUGCUGUGUGUGCAGGAGCUGAUGUGACAGACUGGAACCCACACAUGACACCUGACAGUAAUCUAGAUUGGUGUGGACUGUUGAAGGUUUGCGAGGGGAAACAUAAAAGGAAGCAAGCAAAGAAGAAGAAAAACGAAGAGCGAAAAGGGGGCAUCAAGGAUCCUGAAGGGGAGGCCUGUUAGACCAGGUCAGGACAAGUCGAGGAAUGGUCCAUUAGCGUGAGACGGAUAUGACACCCACACGGAUCAAGCUUCAACUGCCCCUACACGAGUAUACAAUUAUUUACGGGGUUUACAUGAUACCUUGACCAGGAUGUACUUACAACUGUACUGUACAUGUUUUCUCAUUAUUAACCUAUGUCUUGUAUUUUCUACUGUGGCUCUGAAGCUGAGAUGCUAAGAUUAAUUUACAAAGUCAUUUCAACAUUUUUAAUUUUGUAAUAAAGAAAAUGUUUAAUGCCAAUAAAAUGUUUAUGAAAAAUGUC